rnacentral:rRNA from 1 species
CCUACGGGAGGCAGCAGUGAGGAAUAUUGGUCAAUGGACGAGAGUCUGAACCAGCCAAGUAGCGUGAAGGAUGACUGCCCUAUGGGUUGUAAACUUCUUUUAUAUGGGAAUAAAAUGUUCCACGUGUGGGAUUUUGUAUGUACCAUAUGAAUAAGGAUCGGCUAACUCCGUGCCAGCAGCCGCGGUAAUACGGAGGAUCCGAGCGUUAUCCGGAUUUAUUGGGUUUAAAGGGAGCGUAGGUGGAUUGUUAAGUCAGUUGUGAAAGUUUGCGGCUCAACCGUAAAAUUGCAGUUGAAACUGGCAGUCUUGAGAACAGUAGAGGUAGGCGGAAUUCGUGGUGUAGCGGUGAAAUGCUUAGAUAUCACGAAGAACGCCGAUUGCGAAGGCAGUUCACUGGACUGCAACUGACACUGAGGCUCGAAAGUGUGGGUAUCAAACAGGAUUAGAUACCCGGGUAGUC